rnacentral:rRNA from 1 species
UACGUAGGGUGCAAGCGUUAAUCGGAAUUACUGGGCGUAAAGCGUGCGCAGGCGGUGAUGUAAGACAGAUGUGAAAUCCCCGGGCUCAACCUGGGAACUGCAUUUGUGACUGUAUAGCUAGAGUACGGUAGAGGGGGAUGGAAUUCCGCGUGUAGCAGUGAAAUGCGUAGAUAUGCGGAGGAACACCGAUGGCGAAGGCAAUCCCCUGGACCUGUACUGACGCUCAUGCACGAAAGCGUGGGGAGCAAACAGG